rnacentral:rRNA from 1 species
UCCCCAGACUCCUACGGGAGGCAGCAGUGGGGAAUAUUGCACAAUGGGGGAAACCCUGAUGCAGCGACGCCGCGUGAGUGAAGAAGUAUUUGGGUAUGUAAAGCUCUAUCAGCAGGGAAGAAAAUGACGGUACCUGAUUAAGAAGCCCCGGCUAACUACGUGCCAGCAGCCGCGGUAAUACGUAGGGGGCAAGCGUUAUCCGGAUUUACUGGGUGUAAAGGGAGCGUAGACGGCAGCGCAAGUCUGAAGUGAAAUGCCGGGGCUUAACCCCGGAACUGCUUUGGAAACUGUGGAACUGGAGUGCUGGAGAGGCAAGCGGAAUUCCUAGUGUAGCGGUGAAAUGCGUAGAUAUUAGGAGGAACACCAGUGGCGAAGGCGGCUUGCUGGACAGUAACUGACGUUGAGGCUCGAAAGCGUGGGGAGCAAACAGGAUUAGAUACCCGCGUAC